AUUGGAAGGCAGUGUGGAUGCCAAGAACCAGGUUGUUAUGGAGGGAUAUUUGUUCAAGAGGGCCAGUAAUUUUUUUAAGACAUGGAACAGGCGCUGGUUCCUAAUUCAAAACAAUCAGCUAAUAUACAAGAAGAAGUAUAAGAACUCAACUGUGGUGAUGGAAGAUCUACGCAUGUGCACGUCUGAACA